GCUUUCUGGCCUAGCACUUGCUGGUCUUUGCAUUAUGUGUUCUCUAGUGAUGCUCCCCAUCUUGUUUCGUGUCUAAAAUAAAUCUACUGUGUACUACUUUUGAGAUAAUUUUAUAGAGCUAUUGCCAGAUAGUAUUUUCAGUAUUGUAGCAAGUGGCACUAAACAACGGAUCGUGGAGCUUUAAAAUACGAAUGUUAUUACACAGCUAUAACACUUUUUUGUGUGUUUUGGGCAUGGUUCAGGUGCUUUUGAUCAAUUCCUUAUUAUAACCUAUGAGUCUUAUCUCUCAACCUACAACUGACUGCAAGUGUCCUGUAGGUGUGUUGGACAUAUUAAAAUAUAGGAAGCUAAUAGAGGAGGAAAGAAGCGAUUUGAUUACCAAGCAGCAUGGUCCUUUGGGUUGUGUUUCUUCAAUGCAAGAUCGACACAAGGAUGUAACAGCAGUGAUAUUUUACAUCGUCUACCAGGGGCGGAGCGGCGAGAGGUCUAGAGAAGCGUUGCUUUUGUAAAUCACCUAGAACAAAAUUUUCAUCUAUGGGAGUAAAAAGCAGGCGAGGUACCUGUGAUUUUUUUGGCUUUUGCCAACCCAUGUA